AUCACUUUCAUAAAUAGGACAUGGGAGGCUUUUCCUCUCGUUUUAUUAUAAAGAUGUGUGUGGGCAAUUAUUUGUCUUAAUUCAUUUUUCUUAAAGUUUUAACUUUUAGCUAAAAUGUCUCUGCUCUAUUGAAAUUAAAACUUCUAACAGUGAAAUCGAAAUCAUUCAUAGACUCUGGUAUUGCAGGGCUGGAACUUUGCAGUGUUCUGAGGUAGUUAAGAGCUUUCCUGGGUUCGCCCCUGGUUUUGCCACUUACUAGCAGUAUGACCUUGAGCAAGUUACUCUGAGGCUCACUUUCUUCUUGUAUUUGAUGGAGAAAAUAAUAGCACUUACCUCUAUAGAGUUAUGAAAAUUUAGUAAGAUAAUUAUGUAUGCAUUUAGCGCUGGAUCUGGCACAUAGUAAACUGUCUAAAACAAGCUGCUAUUUGUUACUCUUAAGCCUAGUUACUUAAAUCAAGAAACAGUUCUUAUAUGAUGUUGUAGGAGAUUCUGGUGAUUCUUAAGUGUUGAUCCCUGUUCAUAAGGCAGUUAUAGUCUUGUUGAGAACUAAGUUUUGUGCAGUUAAAUAAACUAGAAAGUGUACAGUGAAUUACCCAAAGAGUGAUAGAACAAAGAGUACUGACAGUGCUCAGUAACUGGGAAAAAAAUAGUAGUCCAAAGUAGUUGGGCCAGACUUUGAGGAGGAGGUGGCUUGGAGUCUGAAAGUGAGGAAAGAGCGGGAAGGGCAUUUUAUGCUCUUGACAGCUACAAGAGCAGAGUCAGAGGUAUUUGUAACUCUCAGGAAGAUUUGAGUAACAGAAUUACUCUUGAGUAUAUGAUGACAUACCUUUAUUACCAAGUGAUAUCAAAUAUUAGAGCUGACUGUGGUAGUGACAGUUUUUGAUAUAAAUGUGAAAUUGCAUUCUCCCAAAGGAAUCUUGGGUAUGUAUGCACUUUAAAAGAACCCAGAAUCUUGUAAAUAUUGUCACAUGGCUCUUGCAAGUGAUGAUAAUAAAAUGAUGCUCAUAAUAAUGAGGAUUAGCUGCACCCAUCAGCCCAUUUUAGAUUAUGUAUUAUUAGAACACAUUGAGUCCACUUGGGGAAGCCGAUUAAGUCUUUGGCUGCUUUGGUUCCUGAGCAUGAGUUUGUUAAGGUAAAGCAAGUCUUCCUUAAAUACUGUUCCAGGAGUUUCUUUUGACCAGAUGAUUCCUGCUUACUGCUUUGAUCCUGGCUUCAUAUCUUGAUAUUAUAGGUGUCCUAUACUUUUUCUGAGAUUUGUGUGAACUGAAAGUUGAAUAUAAAUCAUAUUUAAAAUGCGUUGGGGUAUGUGAUUAGGGUAAAAGUUGUAGGGGAUGGAUGUCAGUGGCAGGAAGAUUCAAAGUCAAUAUUUUUUCCUUUCUUAGCAAGCUAAGAAUCUACCUUUUGUAACUUCUAGCUAUUGCACCUUCCUUUUCAUCUAGAGGAAUGUUUCCUCCCGAGUGUAUGUGCCGCAAAGUGCUAGUUCUGAAGAUGUCAAUAAGUGUUAUGUAGAAAAAAAGUGGGUGGGUUCUGGGAUGGAAUAAAUGUGGGAAAAACUGGGUUCAACAAAAAUAAACAGUUUUCUUUAAUGCUGGGCUCCUGGAGAUGCUAAUGUGUUUUGAACAUAGUAAAUCUCUAGGGAGUAUGGUUUGGUCCUAAACUUAAUUGAGCUCCCAAGGAACUAGUAUCUUUUUUAGAAAACAGUGCUCUACAGCAGUCACUUUCAUACUCUUCUUUUUUUUUUUGGACCCAGCUUCAUGAUAAGAAAUACAUUUUAACUCAUAAUCAGGAAUUCACAUGUAUCUGAAUAACUGAAGCAAAAGUUUCACAAAAUGUUGAUUACUUUUACUACAAGUGGUAUGCUUGGAUAUUUUCCGCUCUAUUCUGUUUCAUUAAAAAAAAAUGCUGGUUACUCCCCAGCUAAGCUGAUUUUGUGACCCAUUAAAGAGUUGCAAUUCUCACUUGAAAAACACUGUUUCUAGAAUAACUCAGAAAAGUUUAGGGAUGAGAACUAACUUCGUUGUGCAUCACAGUGUGUCAGUCUGUGCCAGGCAGCUUAUAAAUAUUUUUUGCCUCUAAUUUUAUACAUUUAUGAGAUAGGUAUCAUUUUCUAGGUAAGAAAACUAAUCUCUCUCCAAGCAUCAAAUAAUGCGCACUGAAUGAUGGCACCAGGAUUUGAAUCCAGGUCUUUAUACAUCAUAGACUAUGCUGUUCCCACAGUAUUUUGCUUUUUCCAAGUAUAAUGUCCUUUUCACAUGAAUGGCCUCUUCACAUAGUUGAAGACUACUGUGGUGUCACUGCUGACCCUUUCUCCCUGCCACACACUGUGAGCAUUCCCUUCUCUUCUUCAGAGUAAAUAAUCCCAGUUUGUUUUAUCAUUCCUUAGAUAAUGUAAUUCUCUGAUCCUUCGACCAUGGUUAUUUUUUUCUUAAUUAACUCUAAGUUGCUCAUUGUCAUUAUACAUGGUUCCCAGAGUUGUACCCAGCAUUUUAGAUGAUAUUUGGUCAGAUGGAGAGUGUGGUGGGUGUGAAUCAAAUGCUGUUUUUUUUUUAACCAAAUACUUCAUUGACAGUUUUAACUUCUAUUAUGCUUAAUAUGAGCCUGAAGUAUCAACUUCUCUCCCAUAUAUUUUAUACAUAAGAUGUUAAACUGUGUCUUCCUAACCUAGUUUUUGUGUAACGGAUUUUUUUUUUAGCUUAAAUAUAAAGCUUUUAUUUUAUUUUUUUUUAGGCGUGCUCAGAUUAAAUAUAAGGCUUUUAAAUUUCCUUUUGUUAGUUUUUAUUUACACAUUUAAUAUUAUGUUUCUGAGUUAUUUGGUCAUCUUUGUAUUUGGUAGGCAUAUCUACUACGUCUUCAUUCAAAUUGUUGAUAAAAAUAUUAAAUUGACAUAAUAAAUUACUCUGAAGUGGGCAUGUCAGCUAGACUCACUCUGGAUUAAUACCAGUCCAUUAAUCAACACACAUGGUUGUUCAAUAAUUGCUAGUUCUAUCUAUUAUCGUCAGGCCCAUAUAACAUUUUGUGUAGACAUUAUGAUUUUGUAAAGUGCCUUGCUAUAAUUAAGCUAUACUCUGCCUACAAGAUUCUUACCUACAAUGAAGAAUACUACAUUACUAUCACCAACCUAUUAAAAUAGCCAUUGCAGUUGAUUUGUUUGGACUUGUUCAUGAUGAAUGUUCUAGCAUUUCAUGUAUCCACUUUUCCUUUCUUCACAAACUUUUUUUUCAUCCAAUUUUGAAUUUUGCAAGGAAUCAGUUUGGUCUGGACUUUCUAGACACUGCUUAUUUUUCUCUUUAGAAGUCACCAUAUUUCCUUUUAUCCAGACUUUUGAUCCUGCCCGUGUUCACCAUGAUCUUAGUGAUAAAAUUUCUGUUCUUUUCCAUCAUUUGGAGUGGUAGGCCUAAGCCCAUUUUAAGCUACAUUCUGGCUCACUAGAUCAAUUUAUCUUAGGUUUAUGAAGACACUUCAAAUUCAUACUGACUUCUCAUCGAUAACCUUUGUUGAUAAAUGUCCCAAUUCAGAGCUAGGUAGGUAAUGUGGUUUUUAUACUUUUUUGUCACUCGUGGCUCUUCACUGCUGAGAGUUGAUUUAUUGUAUGACCUCUUUGUUUAUGUAUGCUUUUUGUAGAGGGCCAUUGGUAAAAGUUGCCUGUAAUUUAAUUUGGUAAGCCUAAGUUAAUAAAGCAAUUUGUGUAAUUAUCACCACUUAUCUGAAUAGUUUGGCAGUCAUUCACUGAUUAACAUACUAAUAUCUUGGGAAGUUUUA
rnacentral:lncRNA from 10 species